rnacentral:rRNA from 1 species
CAUUUGACCUCAAAUCAGGUAGGACUACCCGCUGAACUUAAGC